AGCCUUGUACACACCGCCCGUCAAGCCACGAAAGUGGGGGGGGGCCCAACAGCGCUGUCGUAACCGCAAGGAACAAGGCGCCUAAGGUCAACUCCGUGAUUGGGACU
rnacentral:rRNA from 1 species